rnacentral:rRNA from 1 species
UACGGAGGGUGCGAGCGUUGUCCGGAAUCACUGGGCGUAAAGGGCGCGUAGGUGGCGUCGCAAGUCAACGGUGAAAGCUCGACGCUCAACGUCGAGUCGGCCGUCGAGACUGCGAGGCUUGAGCACUGUAGAGGCAGAUGGAAUUCCGGGUGUAGCGGUGGAAUGCGUAGAGAUCCGGAAGAACACCGGUGGCGAAGGCGGUCUGCUGGGCAGUGCUGACACUGAGGCG